GUGACUGUCCCUGGCCCUGAUUCAUUCGUUAGCGCCCAGUGUGGCGGGAGGCAGUCACGCACAUCAUGGCCUGCGGUUCCUGGUGGCGAUAGGCUCUGUCAAGGUACCAGAUUUUCUGUGCGCUGGUUCCACACGGG